AGAUCGAGCGGUCAAAACAGAUCACGCCCUCAUCGAUUCCUUCCACUCCCUCACACCACCUCCCCUCCACCCGGCGGCGCCCGCUCCUUUCUCCCCACCCGCCUUCCUCCCCAUCUGGCGGCGCCUCCUCCCUCCUUCCCAUGGCCUCCCGCACCGCGCGCCACCGGCUAGCUGCACCACCACCGCAUCCUCAUAUACUCCAGUCCACUAUGCCAGCGAGAGAGGAAGCUGCGGGAGGAGGAGAGCCCAUCCCGUGAGGAAGACAUGGGGAGGAGCUCUACCCGUCUCAGUUGCCGGCCGGGAUCUGGAAGAAGAGGAGACCCAGUGCUGGCGUCGGCUCCAGCGAUGCGGGUUGACGGCCAGUGCAGGCGAGCGCGGCGUGCAGUGCGAUGCCCUAGACAGGUGGCAGCGGCCGUCAAGACAGGAGCGGCGCCGCGAGCGACGACCCUUGGUCGUCUUCAGGUGCGCGCCGUCCGUGGUGGCCGAUCAUGGGUGUUGGCUGGCGGGCGGAGGCCCAUGCAGCAGGCCGGUGCCCCUUAGCAAGAUUGGCACGAACUGGGAAGGCAACCGGUGUGUAGUAUGAUCCUCGCCUCCUCCAACUUCGUUAGGGUAGCACGUCUCUGUCCAUUCUCUUCUCCCGUCUCUGUGUAUGUGUGUGUGUUCGUCGUUUCUCCUUUCUUCUCUCAUGAAGAAGGGGCUGCUCAGUUUUGGAACAACAAACCAUGGAGGAUAUGGGUCUGCACGGGCUUGGAGCAGGAAGCCAUGGCGGCCAAGGUUGAAGAUGAUGGUGUUGUCUUCUUCCUUCUGAUUGAUUUCCAACAGCUUAAGAACUUGUGCGGUGGUGUCAACCUCUUAUCUCUCAGGGAAAAUCCUAAAGAAGCCUUGCUUUGCAUGGGAGCUGCAGUUCAUCUGGCUAAGUGCUCGUGCUAUGGAAGCGACGAGGGCUGUCGCGGUGUAGACAAGGACUCGGAUCUAAGAGGGACGCGUGGGUGCGGAUAGCGAGAUGGUUUACAGGACUCAGAUCUGAGAGGGACGCAGUCAAAUGGUCUAACCAAGUUUUCUUCAAUCCUCUGUUCUACAUUCUGGUUUUGAUGCCUUGCUGCCUUCGACAUUAAGGUGGGAAGCUUGGCUGAUUCCACCUCCAGUCAGAAGAUUAAUACAUCUAUGGUUUUAUUUUCCAUGCCAACAGCUUGAUUGAUGAUUCCUAAUGCAUCUCAGCAUUUAAAGAAGUGGCAAUAAUUAGCCAUCCUCGUGCUGGUGAAUACGCAUUUGGGUUUAUAACAUCGAGCAUGAUUCUUCAGGUACUUGUUUAUGCACAACGCUUUCUACAGAUGGAUUCAUGGCAUCAACAACAUUUGAAUGCUUCAUUCUGGAUAAUUUACUCAUUUAUAUGCUUUCAAGAAUUUUGAUUUAUAAUUUUCAUUAUUAGCUACAUAAAGAUUCAUACCAUACUUGUGUGUGCUCUUUUUCUGUGUUACCUCAUUCUUGAAAUAGUUCACUUUCAGGAAAGUGUUAUCCUUUAGUUGUAAUUUGUGACAACUAAACACUUAAAUCUCAAGAGUGUAAAGGUUCACCCAAAAAAUUAAGUUUAAUGUAGCCUGGCUGGGCUUAUCUUAAUAGUUAGCUUAUCAGGAUUAACCUAUAGUCUAUAUAUAAGGUGGUUUAAAUCAGUCUCUCGUACAUAAAUUUGUUGUGCAAGCCCUGAAAAGGCCAGCUAGAGAUACUUCAAGGUUAUGGGGCCUUUACACAUUUGUCUGGUAAUUUGAUGUCUUUUAGAGCGGUCCUUUAACUGCUAAAUCCUAUGAACACUUGCGAAUACUAUAUGUUGUUGUUGUUAGGUUCUCUACCAGAAAUCACUCAGAUAUCAUCUUAUCCUCUUGUUCGCUGUUUUUUUUGUAACAUCUCAAUCUAGCCUAAGCUUAUUUUGGUAAUGACUCCUUUUUGAGGUUGCUAAGUUUGAUGGUCCUUUUAAUAGCACUCUUACUAUAUCACCGGAAUUUCUAAUCGUAAGUUUCUACUAUUAUCUCUCUACAGAAAAUAAUUGUUUCUGGAGGAAUGACCAUGCCACAGGUGAUUACCGCGCUAGGACCUGCCCUUGAUAAGAACCAGGGAACCCAUUUAAACAGAAUGAUGAUUGUGUGAGCCUUUAAAUAUCGCCAACACAUCAGGUAUUGGCAUCUAGAUGUUUACAACUACUAAAGGAACACCCAAGUCAUAGAUGAUGCUACAUCUGAUGUAUGAUUUGAAGAUUAGAAGCUGGAGCACAAGGAUUGUGUGAUGGAGUAAACAUUGGUUAUAUAUUUUAGGCGGGUCAGAUAUUAAAGUGGGGUGCUCACAUCGCACUUAGGUGGCUUAUGGAGAUUACUGAAAUUGGUUUGUGGGUGUUGUGUGCUCACACCGCACUCAUAAAAUUACUAUCAAGAUUUGAAGUUA